rnacentral:rRNA from 1 species
GACGUAGGGGGCAAGCGUUGUCCGGAAUCAUUGGGCGUAAAGCGCUCGUAGGUGGAUCGGUAAGUCUGCAAAGAAAGACCCGGGCUCAACUCGGGGAACGGUGUGGAUACUACCGAUCUUGAGGCAAUCAGAGGAUGAUGGAAUUUCCGGUGUAGCGGUGAAAUGCGUAGAUAUCGGAAGGAACACCUGUGGCGAAAGCGGCUCACUGGACCAUAACUGACGCUGAGGCACGAAAGCUAGGGGAGCAAACAGG